GCGUACUUAACUCAAUGGUUAGAGUAUUGCUUUAAUUGAGUCAUUGGUUCAAAUCCAAUAGUAGGUA
rnacentral:tRNA from 1 species